GGGAAACCCAGUGUGACUCGUCACACUAUCAUUAACUGAAUCCAUAGGUUAAUGAGGCGAACCGGGGGAACUGAAACAUCUAAGUACCCCGAGGAAAAGAAAUCAACCGAGAUUCCCCCAGUAGCGGCGAGCGAACGGGGAGGAGCCCAGAGCCUGAAUCAGCAUGUGUGUUAGUGGAAGCGUCUGGAAAGGCGCGCGAUACAGGGUGACAGCCCCGUACACAAAAGCGCAUGUGCUGUGAGCUCGAUGAGUAGGGCGGGACACGUGGUAUCCUGUCUGAAUAUGGGGGGACCAUCCUCCAAGGCUAAAUACUCCUGACUGACCGAUAGUGAACCAGUACCGUGAGGGAAAGGCGAAAAGAACCCCGGCGAGGGGAGUGAAAAAGAACCUGAAACCGUGUACGUACAAGCAGUGGGAGCACCCUUUGGGUGUGACUGCGUACCUUUUGUAUAAUGGGUCAGCGACUUAUAUUCUGUAGCAAGGUUAACCGAAUAGGGGAGCCGGAGGGAAACCGAGUCUUAACCGGGCGUUAAGUUGCAGGGUAUAGACCCGAAACCCGGUGAUCUAGCCAUGGGCAGGUUGAAGGUUGGGUAACACUAACUGGAGGACCGAACCGACUAAUGUUGAAAAAUUAGCGGAUGACCUGUGGCUGGGGGUGAAAGGCCAAUCAAACCGGGAGAUAGCUGGUUCUCCCCGAAAGCUAUUUAGGUAGCGCCUCGUGAAUUCAUCUCCGGGGGUAGAGCACUGUUUCGGCUAGGGGGCCAUCCCGGCUUACCAACCCGAUGCAAACUGCGAAUACCGGAGAAUGUUAUCACGGGAGACACACGGCGGGUGCUAACGUCCGUCGUGAAGAGGGAAACAACCCAGACCGCCAGCUAAGGUCCCAAAGUCAUGGUUAAGUGGGAAACGAUGUGGGAAGGCCCAGACAGCCAGGAUGUUGGCUUAGAAGCAGCCAUCAUUUAAAGAAAGCGUAAUAGCUCACUGGUCGAGUCGGCCUGCGCGGAAGAUGUAACGGGGCUAAACCAUGCACCGAAGCUGCGGCAGCGACACUGUGUGUUGUUGGGUA
rnacentral:rRNA from 1 species